UCCUACGGCAGGCCGCACGGGGAGACCCUUCGAGGUCUGCCGGUCCGUGGUCCGGUUCGUCAACCCCGCUGCGGUCUGCCACCCUU
rfam:Pseudomonas pseudoalcaligenes KF707 = NBRC 110670 strain KF707 ctg459, whole genome shotgun sequence.